rnacentral:rRNA from 1 species
UCAAGCUACAAAGGGCGCAUGGUGAACGCCUUGGCAUCAGGAGCCGAUGAAGGACGUGAUAAGCUGCGAUAAGCUUCGGGUAGGCGCACAUAGCCUGAGAUCCGAAGAUCUCCGAAUGAGGAAACUCACAUGGGAAACCCCAUGUAUCAUUAAGUGAAUACAUAGCUUAAUGAAGGUAACCCAGGGAACUGAAACAUCUAAGUACCUGGAGGAAGAGAAAGAAAAAUCGAUUUUCUUAGUAGCGGCGAGCGAAAGGGAAAGAGCCCAAACCGGAAACUUGUUUCCGGGGUUGUGGACAUAGCUAAGAGUGGAGGCUAUUGUAACUGAAGAGAACUGGAAAGUUCCACCGUAGAAGGUAAUAGUCCUGUAAGUGAAACGAGAAGACCACGAGUUAUGAUCCAGAGUACCACGAGACACGUGAAACCUUGUGGGAAGCAGGGAGGACCACCUCCCAAGGCUAAAUACUACCUGAUGACCGAUAGUGAAGCAGUACCGUGAGGGAAAGGUGAAAAGAACCCCGGGAGGGGAGUGAAAUAGAACCUGAAACCGUGUGCCUACAACCGCUCAGAGCCCCUUAUGAGGGUGAUGAGGUGCUUUUUGUAGAACGAGCCAACGAGUUACGGUAUGUAGCAAGGUUAAGUACUUAAGGUACGGAGCCGAAGGGAAACCGAGUCUGAAUAGGGCGACUAGUUGCAUGCCGUAGACCCGAAACCGGGUGACCUAUCCAUGGCCAGGUUGAAGCGAGGGUAAAACCUCGUGGAGGACCGAACCACGUUGCUGUUGAAAAAGCAUGGGAUGAGCUGUGGAUAGCGGAGAAAUUCCAAUCGAACCCGGAGAUAGCUGGUUCUCUCCGAAAUAGCUUUAGGGCUAGCGUCGAGUAUGAGUAGUGGAGGUAGAGCACUGAAUGGGCUAGGGGGCAUAGCGCUUACCGAACCUUAUCAAACUCCGAAUGCCACAUACUUUGAGCUCGGCAGUCAGACUACGAAUGAUAAGAUCCGUGGUCAAAAGGGAAACAGCCCAGAUCGUCAGCUAAGGUCCCAAAGUGUAAGUUAAGUGGGAAAGGAUGUGAGAUUUCUAAGACAACUAGGAUGUUGGCUUAGAAGCAGCCAUUCAUUAAAAGAGUGCGUAAUAGCUCACUAGUCGAGAGAUCUUGCGCCGAAAAUGUAACGGGGCUAAACUUACCACCGAAGCUACGGGCUUGAACUUAGUUCAAGCGGUAGGAGAGCGUCGUAACCGGGCUGAAGUCGUACCGUAAGGAGCGGUGGACUGGUUACGAGUGAGAAUGUUGGCAUCAGUAGCGAGAUGUGGGUGAGAAUCCCACAGGCCGAAAACCUAAGGUUUCCUCAGGAAGGUUCGUCCGCUGAGGGUUAGUCGGGACCUAAGCCGAGGCCGAAAGGCGUAGGUGAUGGACAACUGGUUGAUAUUCCAGUACCACUACCAUCGUUAUUAUCGAUGGCGUGACGCAGGAGGAUAGUGUGUGCUAGCUAUUGGAUGCUAGUCUAAGCGUUUAGGCAGUGAGAGUAGGCAAAUCCGCUCUCAUAAUGCUGAGGCGUGAUGGGGAAGGUUCUACGGAACCGAAGUACAUGAUUCCACGCUGCCAAGAAAAGCGUCUAGAGAGAGAAGUAGUGCCCGUACCGCAAACCGACACAGGUAGGUGAGGAGAGAAUCCUAAGGCCGGCGGAAGAAUUACAGUUAAGGAACUCGGCAAAUUGACCCCGUAAGUUCGCGAGAAGGGGUGCCUACGAGAGUAGGCCGCAGAGAAUAGGCCCAAGCAACUGUUUAGCAAAAACACAGGUCUCUGCUAAAGCGUAAGCUGAUGUAUAGGGGCUGACGCCUGCCCGGUGCUGGAAGGUUAAGGGGAACACUUAGCACAAGCGAAGGUGUGAACUUAAGCCCCAGUAAACGGCGGCCGUAACUAUAACGGUCCUAAGGUAGCGAAAUUCCUUGUCAGGUAAGUUCUGACCCGCACGAAUGGCGUAAUGACUUGGGCACUGUCUCAACUGUAAAUCCGGCGAAGUUGUAGUGCGAGUGAAGAUGCUCGCUACCCGCGAUUGGACGGAAAGACCCCGUAGAGCUUUACUGUAGCUUAGCAUUGAGUUUUGGUAUUGUCUGUACAGGAUAGGUGGGAGACUAGGAAACCAGGGCGUCAGCCUUGGUGGAGUCAACCUUGGGAUACCACCCUGACAGUACUGAAAUUCUAACUGGCGGCCAUGAAUCUGGUCACAGGACAUUGUUAGGUGGGCAGUUUGACUGGGGCGGUCGCCUCCUAAAAAGUAACGGAGGCGCCCAAAGGUUCCCUCAGAACGGUCGGAAAUCGUUCGAAGAGUGCAAAGGCAGAAGGGAGCCUGACUGCGACACCCACAAGUGGAGCAGGGACGAAAGUCGGGCUUAGUGAUCCGGUGGUACCUCGUGGGAGGGCCAUCGCUCAACGGAUAAAAGCUACCUCGGGGAUAACAGGCUGAUCUCCCCCAAGAGUCCACAUCGACGGGGAGGUUUGGCACCUCGAUGUCGGCUCGUCGCAUCCUGGGGCUGAAGUAGGUCCCAAGGGUUGGGCUGUUCGCCCAUUAAAGCGGCACGCGAGCUGGGUUCAGAACGUCGUGAGACAGUUCGGUCCCUAUCCGUCGCGGGCGUAGGAAAUUUGAGAGGAGCUGUCCUUAGUACGAGAGGACCGGGAUGGACUGACCUCUGGUGUACCAGUUGUUUCGCCAGGAGCACAGCUGGGUAGCUAAGUCGGGAAUGGAUAAACGCUGAAAGAAUCUAAGCGUGAAGCCAACCUCAAGAUGAGAUUUCCCAUAGCGUAAGCUAGUAAGAUCCCUUGAAGAACACAAGGUUGAUAGGUCGGGGGUGUAAGCAUGGUAACAUGUUCAGCUGACCGAUACUAAUAGAUCGAGGGCUUGACCAA